rnacentral:lncRNA from 1 species
UUUUUUUUUUUUUUUUUUUUUUUUUUUUUUUUNGGGCCGCACCCCAGACAUAGAGGUUCCCAGAGAAAUGACCACUUUUGCUCAAACAAAAAUCUAUACGUAAAGGUUUAGACUGGCUUUAUUUACAACAGCCCUAACCUGGAAACAUUCACCUUUAACUAGUGAAUGGAUAUACAAACCAUGGCAUAUGCCUAUUAAAAUGAGAAAUCAUUUCAUACCUAUCAGAUAAUGCAGAAAUAAAAGAGUUUAAUAACACCAAGUGUUCGCAAGGCUUUGGAUAAACAGGAGUUUUCCCACUGUUGCCAUAAAUGUAAAUUGAUUCAAAUACUUGGGAGAACAUGGAGCAGGUUGAAGAUGUGUGUGCACUAUGAUCCAGUAAUGCCUCUUCUCAGAAUACUCAAUCCCAUUUUCACAGCACACAACCAACAUAUCAAUAGGAGAACAUAAAACUAAAUUCUGGUAUAUUUAAACAGCAGAAUAAAACAGAGCACUUAAAGCAAAUGAACUCUAGCCAUUUGUAUCAACAUGGCUUAAAAAUAUACCUGAAUGAGCAAGCACGCUGCAGAAUAUAUAAACAUGGGAUCUUUUAUUAAGAUCUUAAACCAUUCGGAGUUCCCGUCAUGGCUCAGCGGUUAACAAAUUCGACCCGGAACCAUGAGAUUCGUUAACCACUGCGCCACAAAGGGAACUCCUCAAUUAUUUUUUAAUUACAAAUAAAUUUGAUCUAUUCUUCACCUCUAGUCCCAUCCCUCUCCAAGGGAAAAGAAAUCUAAAUAUUUUCAUUUUGAAUAUGGAAAAGGCCACUAUGGGCGAUUCCAUCCCAGACAGUGCCAUGAAUGAGCUCUGUUAUCUUGGGAGAUUAUUUAAUCUGCACCUCUCCAAGACUUGUGCCACUUCUAAAAUCAUAUCUUCUGUGAAAGCACAAACACCUCUCCAUAAAACAGAGAUCAGCAGUUCGAAGUACACCAACAGGAGCAAAAAGCAGUUUUCCUAUAACUCUGAGUGGAAAACUUUUAAAAUCUGUUACGACAGGUCCAGAUAAACCAUCUGUAGUAAUUGCCUCAUGUUCUCUGUGGAAUAAAGUGGGCAGAAAUGUAUACAGAUAGUCACUAUUACUCAACUCAAUGAAGCAGGAAGUUGGGAGCUAUUAUCUGAUGACUUAUUUUCUUAAUGAACUAAGGAAGAGAGGUCAUGGUGAAGUAGAAAGAAACCAAGGAUGAAAUCUGGGAAAAGGAUAAGUAAAAUGACUGACAAAAAGGAAAAAAAAAAAAAAAGUCAAGGAUCUAGCUGAGGCCAAAACUUAUACAUAUAUAAAGGAGAAAGUCACACUGUUAUCUUAUUUCUUCCAGCAGAGAGCAACAAAAAAACACAGAAAAAUUACUUAAUUAGGACUGUGCCACUGAGUAAAGUUGGCAAGUUCAGAACAUAAGAAAAUCAAAAUGUCUGUGACAUGAAAGUCCUGCGACUCCCUGGAGUCUACAGCAGGUAAGAUGGGUCAGGAAGGCCAGAGGAAGCCACAGAACACAAAGCGCCCAAGGAACAAGGCCACUGGAGACCGAAGGAGAGCCAGGAAGGGCAGGGUAUGUGCAGACAGGUUACUCCCCAAGCUCAAGGUUCCAAGGUGCCAUCUGGGAGAUGGCAAGGCCCAGGAAAGCUGAAGUGAACUGGAAGUACAACUGCUUGGAAAAGAUAAUGUAAAGGGAGGGCAAGGUUUGGAGGCUAGACGAGCCAAACCACUUAGAGAUGAUGUUAGAAGACACAGUGGAAAGAAACACAGCAAGCCAGGAGCCAACAUACAAGGCACAUAAUGGCCAAUAAAUUGGCAGAGGAUGGCAAAAAAGUAAAGGGAGGGUGGUACCACAGAUUAGUGUGAACUUCAGAACUGACAGGCAUUGCUGAAUUGAGUCUGGAGCACACACCCUGCUAGUCUCACUAUCUGGAAUGCUAUGCCAUCUGGAGAAUUCCUAUUCAUACUUCAGAUUGCUGUUUAAAUGAAUAAUUCUUCAGCAAACCCUUUCCAGACCUCUCAAAAUGCAAAUUAAAUUGUUUACCUCUCUUCACUAUUCCCUCCAAAAACAAUGACCACAAUUCAUGCCAAGUAGCCUUCUUUAUCCAAAAGUAUCUCUUCUUGAGUUCAUGUAGCAAGGAAUCCACAUUUCCUGAAUCUAUUUGAUUCUCUAAGUGUGUGCUAGAAAAAUAUAAGAUUUCAGAGAGGGAAGGGCAUACCCAAAAAUUUAUCCAGAGCUGCCAGGUCAGGAAGGCAGCUUCUCUGGCAUACUAGCUUUAGGAAAACUUAGCCACACACAAUUAAAAGUAGUCUACUUAGGAGUUCCCAUCGUGGCUCAGUGGUUAACGAAAUCUGACCAGCAUCCAUGAGAACACAGGUUCGAUCCCUGGCCUCACUCAGUGGAUUAAGGAUCUGGCAUUGCCAUCAUCUGUGGUAUAGGUCACAGACACGGCUCAGAUCCUGCAUUGCUGUGGCUCUGGUGUAUUCUUAGCUAUAAGAAUUCCUAAUACUAAAAAGAUUCCUUUUUUAUUUUAAUGUUUCUCACUAAAUUUAUGAUGAGAAUAUAAUCAUGUGUAAGCUUUCUCAUGAAAAACGUGAGAAAUCCAAAAGAACAUAAAUAAAAUGUAUUAUUUAUAAUUCCUUCCAAUCAUAAUUACUAAACAAUUUUUUAAUGUUCCUUACUCAGGCAAGCACUUUGGAUAUACUGCUAGAGGGAGUAAUAAGCGGCUUUAACAUUUCUAGAUGGCCAUUUAAUAACAUCAAUUAAAUUCUCCAAAAAUAAACAUAGCCUUCGUCCCAACAAUUCUACUCUUAAGGAAUUUAUCAUAACAAUUAAAAUAGGAUCAACUUUUUCAUUAUGGGAAUGUUCACUAAAAUAGUGCUCAGAAUAAUCCAGAACUGGAGGGGGAAAUAUUAAUAUCUAAAAAUAGAAAACUGGUUGGUUAAAGUGUAGAUACAGUAUUAGAAUAUUGUGGGCAGAGUUCCCCUUGUGGUGCAACAGAAACUAAUCUAACUAGUACCCAUGAGAAUGUGGGUUCAAUCCCUGGCCUCGUUCAGUGGGGCGGGGAUCCGGUGUUGCUGGGAGCUGUGGUGUAGGUCAUAGACUGGGCUCGGAUCCUGCGUUCCUGUGGCUGUGGUGUAGGUUGGUGGCUACAACUCCAAUUUGACCCCUAGCCUAGGAACCUCCAUAUGCCACAGGUGCGGCCCUACAAAAACUAAAUAAAUAAAUAAAUGUUUUUCUUCUCAAACCAGGGAAUAAAUGGAUUAACAUCUAGAAAUACUGCUUAGCGAUCAAUCUACUUGUAGAAUUGGCUAAGAAACAUUUUCUGGGCAAUGGGAAACCCCCCUAUUUGACAGAAAAAAAGAAUGAGAAAGGGGAGUUUGACAGAAACAUCACUAAACUAUAUUUUAUUUAUGCAGUCCUUGAAUGGAAGAUAUCAUAGUACACACACUACAUAUUACAUACUACACACACACCCAAAUCAAAUACCCCCAAAUCAAAAAGCUUACUUCUCGACAACUCAGUAGUACAUAAAGCAAUGUGGUCUUAAGCUGUGCCACCCAAUGUCACCUGCCCCAUGUGACUGCUGAGCACUAGCAAUGUGGUCAGUCCAAUUAAGAUGUGCUCUAAGUGUAAAAUACACACCAGACUUCAAAGAGUUACCAUGAAUAAAACAGUAAAUACCUCAUUUUUAUAUGGAUUACAUGAGGUGAUGAUAUUUUUAUAUCAGGUUAUAAAAUAUGUUACUAAAAAAUAAAUUUUACCUGUUUUUAACUUUAUUCAAUGUAGCUACUAGAAAAUUUUACACAUUUGACCCCCAUUAUAACUGUAAUGGACAGCAUCAGUCAUCUAAAGAGAGUGGGUAUUAGCUGUUUUAUAGUAUACAACCAUGCUAAUUACAAUCAGAUCCCAUUCAAAGAGUGUGUUUUGACACUUUUUCGCAAAUACACAUAUACCCAGGCAUGGGUAUGUACCUUAGUCCAAAGACCAAAGCCAAUCCUACAUCAUAUCCUACAUAAUCAACUUUGCAGCCUGCAUUGUGACAGAGGGAAGCAGGUGGCAUAACCUAAUUUCUCACACUCACAGGACUGGGAGGAGGGAGAGAGACAGACGUGAAAAAAAGCCAAAGCAGAAAUCCAUGUGGUAAUGAGCACAAAGGGGAGCCGGGGGCUGCUCUUGAGAAGCUCAGAACCAGCAUAAGAAAUCUAAAUAAAACACAAGGUCCAUCCAAGGGUAAACACUAUUCAAAUCCAAAGGGGCUGAAUUGCAGGUUCUGGCUUUGCAUGGUAAACAUAAAACAAAACACACGUAUUUAAAAGGAAUUAUCAUUAGAGGGAAUGGGACAAAUGCAUUGAUGAGAUUUUUCCACACCAAACAGAAGGUCAGCAAGCAACCAAACUUAAGACAAUUUACAGGCAGCUGGUCUUAAUCCUAUACUAACACGCUGAUUUUAAAACCUGAAAAAGCCAGAGGUGUUCUAGUAUGCUUGGAAUCUCUUUCAUACAACCAUUACACAACUCUUCCAUCUUCCUUCCUUACCUUCUUAUGCAAGCUCUGUAAUCAUCAGUGUUUAUAUAGGUUUUUGAAACUACCCAAUUUCUCCGGUAAAUAUUUACUUCUCUUGUUGCUGCUGAUCAAACUAUAAACAUAGCAUUUUUAUAUAACAUGUUUAGUAAUGGGAAAGUAGGACAUUGACGUCAACAGCAUGCAGAGCCUGUAAACCGAAAACACCACAAUUACCAGACACAGUGAGGCCUCUUGGAAAUCAUCCUCCAAUAAAACAGAAAUUUCCCCUCCUUGCUCAGUUUUUGAUCCAGUUUAUAUCCAAGUCCCUUCACAUCGGUGGUAGUUCAAUCAACUUCUAAAAUGCACCUGGGAGUUCCCAUUUUGGCACAGCGGAAACAAAUCUGACUAGGAACCAUGACGUUGCAGGUUCAAUUCCUAGCCUUACUCAGUGGGUUAAGGAUCCAGCAUUGCCAUGAGCUGCGGUUCAGGUAGCAGACGUGGCUCGGAUCUGGCAUUGCUGUGGCUCUGGUGUAGGCCAGCAGCUACAGCUCCAAUUAGACCCCCUAGCCUGGGAACCUCCAUGUGCCACGGGUGCGGCCCUUAAAAGACAAAAAAAAAAAAAAAAAAAGACAUAAAAUGCACCUGAAUCAGCACCCAGUAUCCAGGCUCCAAGAACUGGACAGAGCUGGUACUCUCAGCUGUGCAGUGUACUGUCACUUGUAUGCUCUUGCUAACAAUGAUGAAACAUACUAUCAACCCUUCUCUUUGAGUAAGUAAGAGCUUAAUAUUUUAGCAUCUGUACUAAAGUCUCAAAGAAAAUAGAAUAAACCAAUUGCUAGAAGUUCCUGCUAUGGCUCAAGAGGAUCAGUAGCAUCUUUGCAGUGUUAGAACACAGGUUCGAUCCCCAGCGUGGCAGAGUGGGUUAAAGGAUCUGGCAUUGCUGCAGGUGUAGUGUAGGUCAAAACUGCAGCUCAGAUCUGAUUCCUGGCCUGAGAAUUCCAUAUACUGUGGGGCAGCCAAAAUAGUAAAGGAAAAAAAAACAAAACAAACAAACAAAAAAAA